UCCCUCUCAAAGUUGCGUGCAACACUCCAAUUCAGUUGCAGCUCAGUUUAAGGGGACAACCAUCCCAAAAGAGGGUGACUGUUUCCUUGGUCAAGGAUAUACUAGCUGCUGUGCUCCCCUGCCAGAACCUCCAAAUAAGAUCCAAAAAAUAUGCACAAAAAGGUGUAAGAAAUGGGUCAUGGC
rnacentral:sRNA from 1 species